rnacentral:rRNA from 1 species
AACGAACGCUGGCGGCAUGCCUAACACAUGCAAGUCGAACGAGACCUUCGGGUCUAGUGGCGCACGGGUGCGUAACGCGUGGGAACCUGCCCUUAGGUUCGGAAUAACUCCCCGAAAGGGGUCCUAAUACCGGAUAAUGUCUUCGGACCAAAGAUUUAUCGCGUUUGGAUGGGCCCGCGUUGGAUUAGCUAGUUGGUAGGGUAAAAGCCUACCAAGGCGACGAUCCAUAGCUGGUCUGAGAGGAUGAUCAGCCACACUGGGACUGAGACACGGCCCAGACCGCGACGGGAGGCAGCAGUAGGGAAUAUUGGGCAAUGGGCGAAAGCCUGAUCCAGCAAUGCCGCGUGAGUGAGGAAGGGCUUAGGGUUGUAAAGCUCUUUUACCCGGGAUGAGAAUGACAGUACCGGGAGAAGAAGCACCGGCUAACUCCGUG